GCUCCUGUGAAAUAGUGGUUAGUCCGCCUCUGAUGCGGGAGGUCGCGGGUUCGAACCCCGGCUGAGUCA